rnacentral:ncRNA from 1 species
CAAAAGCUUGGUCCUGGCUUUACUAUCAGCUUAGGCUAAACUUACACAUGCAAGUAUCCGCAUCCCCGUGAGAAUGCCCUUAAGCUCCCACCGCUAACAGGAGUCAAGGAGCCGGUAUCAGGCACAACCCUGAGUUAGCCCACGACACCUUGCUCAGCCACACCCCCAAGGGAACUCAGCAGUGAUAAACAUUAAGCCAUGAGUGAAAACUUGACUUAGUCAAAGCCUAAUUUAGAGCCGGUAAAACUCGUGCCAGCCACCGCGGUUAUACGAGAGGCUCAAGUUGAUAUACACCGGCGUAAAGGGUGGUUAGGAAAAAGAAUAACUAAAGCCGAACAUCUCCGAAGCCGUCAUACGCACCCGAAGACAUGAAGCACUUCCACGAAAGUGGCUUUAAACCUCCGAACCCACGAAAGCUAGGGCACAAACUGGGAUUAGAUACCCCACUAUGCCUAGACAUAAACAAAGGUAGCACUUCUUACACCUGCUACUCGCCAGGGAACUACAAGCAUAAGCUUAAAACCCAAAGGACUUGGCGGUGCUUUAGAUCCACCUAGAGGAGCCUGUUCUAGAACCGAUAACCCCCGUUCAACCUCACCCCUUCUUGUUUUUCCCGCCUAUAUACCGCCGUCGUCAGCUUACCCCAUGAAGGGUUUAUAGUAAGCACAACUGGUACAACCUAGCACGUCAGGUCGAGGUGUAGCGCAUGAAGAGGGAAGAAAUGGGCUACAUUCACUGCCUCAGUGAAUACGGACGACGAGUUGCAAUACUCACCCAAAGGAGGAUUUAGCAGUAAGGAGGAAAACAGAGCGUUCCCCUGAAACCGGCCCUGAAGCGCGCACACACCGCCCGUCACUCUCCCCGAUCCGCUAUAUAAAGUAAAUAACACACUAAAGCUACUAAAGGGGAGGCUAGUCGGGAGGUGAGAAGUGUACCGGAAGGUGCACUUGGAGGUG